GGUGAGGUUAUGGCUUACCAAGGCUAUGAUCUAUAGCUGGUCUGAGAGGACGAUCAGCCACACUGGAACUGAGAUACGGUCCAGACUCCUACGGGAGGCAGCAGUGGGGAAUAUUGGACAAUGGGCGAAAGCCUGAUCCAGCUAUGCCGCGUGAGUGAAGAAGGCCUUCGGGUUGUAAAACUCUUUCAAUAGGGAAGAUAAUGACGGUACCUAUAGAAGAAGUCCCGGCAAACUCUGUGCCAGCAGCCGCGGUAAUACGGAGGGGGCAAGCGUUGUUCGGAAUUAUUGGGCGUAAAGGGCACGUAGGUGGACUAGUAAGUUAAAAGUGAAAUACCAAAGCUUAACUUUGGAGCGGCUUUUAAUACUGCUAGACUAGAGG
rnacentral:rRNA from 1 species